rnacentral:rRNA from 1 species
CAGGAUGAAGAAAGAUGGCCUCUACAAGUAAGCUAUCGCUAAAGGAUGGGCCUGCGUCUGAUUAGCUAGUUGGUAGUGUAACGGACUACCAAGGCGAUGAUCAGUAGCCGGUCUGAGAGGAUGAACGGCCACAUUGGGACUGAGACACGGCCCAAACUCCCACGGGAGGCAGCAGUGGGGAAUCUUCCGCAAUGGACGAAAGUCUGACGGAGCAACGCCGCGUGAGUGAUGAAGGAUUUCGGUCUGUAAAGCUCUGUUGUUUAUGACGAACGUGCAGUGUGUGAACAAUGCAUUGCAAUGACGGUAGUAAACGAGGAAGCCACGGCUAACUACGUGCCAGCAGCCGCGGUAAUACGUAGGUGGCGAGCGUUGUCCGGAAUUAUUGGGCGUAAAGAGCAUGUAGGCGGCUUAAUAAGUCGAGCGUGAAAAUGCGGGGCUCAACCCCGUAUGGCGCUGGAAACUGUUAGGCUUGAGUGCAGGAGAGGAAAGGGGAAUUCCCAGUGUAGCGGUGAAAUGCGUAGAUAUUGGGAGGAACACCAGUGGCGAAGGCGCCUUUCUGGACUGUGUCUGACGCUGAGAUGCGAAAGCCAGGGUAGCGAACGGGGUUAGAUACCCCGGUAGUCCUGGCCGUAAACGAUGGGUACUAGGUGUAGGAGGUAUCGACCCCUUCUGUGCCGGAGUUAACGCAAUAAGUACCCCGCCUGGGGAGUACGGCCGCAAGGUUGAAACUCAAAGGAAUUGACGGGGGCCCGCACAAGCGGUGGAGUAUGUGGUUU